rnacentral:rRNA from 4 species
CCUGGCGACCGUAGCGCGGUGGUCCCACCUGACCCCAUGCCGAACUCAGAAGUGAAACGCCGUAGCGCCGAUGGUAGUGUGGGGUCUCCCCAUGCGAGAGUAGGGAACUGCCAGGC